GUCGAUCUGAAAAUGUUCUUAAUGACCUUCAUUCCCAGGAUCACAUUCAGUCUUUCCCUCUUGUUGUCAUCAGCAGAUAGGUCACUCAGUCCAGAAUUGGCCCUGGCUGCAGAAAGACUCGGGCUUUACAAUUCUAUAGGAAUACCAGGCAGUCGGGCUGAAAUGGGGAGGAAGAAAGCAUGACAAGAGAAGAAAGUGGCCAGGUCCAAGGAACUUGUUCAGCAUUGCUAGCUGCGGAAAAACUAUGUUCGUAUCACUUUUCCAGAGCCUUCGAUCAUGGAAUCUCUUCUGGGGACAGCCUGACCCUCCACAGAUAAGCUACUGGAACUCUCUGAGGGAAGUUUUGGCUCCUUUUUCUAGGAGGGAGGAUCCCUGAGAAGACCCGUGCAUGUUUGUCACGUUAGCUAUACCUACAGACCCAUCAGUCUGGCAUUGAAAUGAGCAGCCCACUCUUCCCUACCAGUUCACAAGCACCCAACGGCAGGGCCCCUGUGAAGGACAGUGCUCUCCCAGGGGACAGCGUUCAGCUUUGACUAGGGUUGAGCUGUCCUCUCUCCUCUGGCUCUCUAGUUCUAGUCUCCCUCCCUCCCUCUCUUGUACCCGCGCGUGCGCGCCCGCGCGCGCGCACUCACACACACACACACACACACACACACACGCACCCGCUCUCUCCCCCUACCGCUCGCGCUCUCCCCAGGCUUUGUCUGGAGGCUCCCGCCCGCUCCGUCUGCACCCCCCCCCCCCGGGCGUCCCGGUCCCCAGGCCCUGGGCGCGCAGGGGGACGUCGCGGCGCCACAGGCCUGGGGGACUGGACCGCGUCGAAGGCCGGAUGUGUGGGACGGGGCGAGACGGAGGCGCACAGCCCCAGAGAGUGAGAGUCCCCGCCGACAAGACAGUAGGCGACUCCGACCGCCAAAGACGCGAGUCAUUCCCACUGCAAACACCAGAGCGCGUCGGCCCGCCUUCCCCGCGGCCGCCCCCACUCCCCCGGCGCCACCGCGCGAACAAAAGCCGGCGGGCUCGGGGCGCUCCCCCUAGCGGCCGCUCCUCCCGCGGCGGCCCCGGCGCGGCCUUCCAGGGCUUUCUCGGCCUCCCGAGAACGCCCUCGCCACGCAGCCGCCCAGACGGGUGGCCGGCGCUGCGCCUUCCCUCUCUGGCCCUCCCAGGCGGUGCCCGUUUUGACGUACUUGUGAUCCAGGCAGAAAAGAAGCCUUCACAAGCCCACGUAUUUUCCUCAGUGAGUCAAAGAAAUAUUUAUGAUAUACUGAAACAGUUGAAGAAGUAUUCCGUUCAAAGUUCAGAGGGAGGAAACAGAGAAGCAGGAGACAAGAGCGAAUCUCAUCCAUCACUGUUGACAGUAGAACAUGUCCUGUGCGGUUGGCAUAGCUGUCUUUUCUUGCAAGGAGAUCUAACAUUCAUUCUUACUUGGGAGACUAAGAAGAGGUGGAGAAAAAAGAAGAUCCGCCCUUUUCAGUGCCACCACCCCGGGGAAAUGGGAGGGUGGGAAAGAGUGCAGGUCCUGGGUGUUAACAAGGCAGAGGUCAUGAGUGCACUCCCCACAUGGACCACUUGGCUCUGCUCCAUCCCACUGCCACAGAGGGCCCCUCGGAGUGGGAGCUGUGAUCCCUCUGACUAUUCUGCAGUUCACGUGAGUGAAGCCAGGGCUCAUUUAUGGAGGGGGGCAGCUACCCUAAGUCUUUUCUGUCUCUUUCUUGAAUAAAAGCAAUACUAUACAAGAUAUAAUUUUAAUUGCACACACAAUGUAAUUCUCAUCUGCUGCUCGG
ensembl:lncRNA